UCCAAAUAAAUUUGUUAGUCUCUAAGGUGUCACAAGGACUCCUCGUUGUUUAUGCUUAACCAAGCACAUGAGUUCAUCACUAUUUAGCUUCAAUGGAACUACUUGUGCUUAAGAAAAAGUGCUUAGCCGACUCAGGGCCAUAGUGAAUCAUUAUUGCUGCACUAAUAUAAUAGUAAAGAUCCCAUCAGAUAAAAUUGUUACUAUUUCUUUAUUUAUAGAAUGUAUAAGAGUGGUUUUUUACUUAGUCCUUGUGCCAAAGAUUUUACCAUUUAAAUUAGAUAAAUAUUAUAUAAAGACACCAGUACGCACACAUGAAAGUGAGGAGAUAUUCUCAAGAAAGAGCUAGCAGGGUAGGUAAAAAGAGUGAUUUUUGUUUACAAUUUGUAAAGGGAUUUGUUUGUAAGAAGAGAGGAAGGGAGCUUCGCACACAGGAAGCAGGAGGCUGUUUCAACUUCAGAAAGUGGCAUAAAAGAAGAAGGGAAGCAAAGACCAAGGGAGUUUUAAGGGCUGGGCGUGGGGGGGAGGCGUAAAUGAGAGCAAAUAUGUAGGAAGGGAACUGUGUUGUAAAGAGUCUUGAAGAUGAACAAAAGAAGAUUGAAUUUGGAGUGAAAGGAGAAAGUCAACAAAGGCAUUUCAGGCAUUGAUAACAUUAGAGGGGUAUGACAGGCAGAUGAUUUCAAAGCAGCCUUUGGACAGAUUGGAGUGGGAGAUGCCAAAGGCAAGAAGUCUAUGAAGGAGAAAGUUACAGUAGCCAAGACAUGAGAUGAUCAAGACAAGAACUAAGAUUUUAACAACUGGGAUAGAAAGGAUAGCAUUUAAUGAAGUUAUAAAGGAGGAAAUUACAAGAUUUGGUGACAGCCUGGAUGUUGAGGAAGGAGAAAGAGGUGUCAAAAAUAAGAAUAAGGUUUCAGGCUUAGGGCAUGGCUACACUGGAAACUUCAAAGCACUGUUGCGGGAGUGCGAAUGUGGUCGGAGAGAGCUCUCCCAGUGCUCCUGGUAAUCCACCUCCACAAGCCUCCCAGUGCUCGGAGUCUGUCUACGCUAGCGCUUUAAAGCGCUCAGACUUGCUGUGCUCGGGGGGGUGAUUUUUCACCCCCCUGAGCCAGCAAGUUAGAGCACUAUAAAAUGUAAGUGUAGACAAGCCCUUAGGUAUAGAGAAAAUUGUUUAGUACCAUUUAAACAAUGACAGAAAAGAAUGAGAUAAGAGGUUUAGGUGAGUUUUAGAUCUACAUCAGUCAGGUGGUAUCAUAGAAAUUAAGUUACUGAAAUUAGCAAUGUUCUGUGUGUCUUGCUUUGAAAAUAAUUCUCUUUUCUUCUCCUAAACAUUAAAGACCUGGAAAUCUACUCCAGAAACAUAAAGAGGAAAAUCAAAUUAGGUGCAUAUUCUGCUAGAAGCUUCCCAUCAACAUCAGUCCUGAGAAAGUCCUUCUGUUUCAUCUUCCAAGCAUUCACUCUGUCAGUGAAAAGGAGAUGGAUAUAGGGAACAGCCAAAUUGGCAUGUAUCCCUCUAACACCCUCCUGAUAGCUUAGGGCUUGUCUACACUGGCAAUUAACAGCGCUGCAACUUUCUCACUCAGGGGUGUGAAAAAAGACCCUCCUGAGCGCAGCAAGUUGCAGCGCUGUAUAGCGCCAGUAUAAACAGUGCCCCUUAUUGAGGUGGUUUUUUUAGAGCGCUAGGAGGGCUCUCUCCCAGCACUGCACCACGACCACACAAGGCACAUUAAAGUGCUGCUGCUGCUGCUGCAAGCAUUAUUAUCUUCUGCUAGGUGCCCUCCAUUACAUGUACUGGAGAGUCAUUCACUGGCUAUUACAGGGGUUACAUUUUCAGGGGGUUGCAAGUUUUUCAAAGAGAUUGACAUUUUAACAACACAGCAUUAUAUUAUGUAAUUGGCUUGGGUUGUUCCAUAUGAGCUUAUAUGUCUCAUUGUGGUACAAGAAAAUUUGGGGAGUGGCCUUUUUACAGUUAAUUGUUGGCAAAGGCAGUAUAAUUUUAAAAAUGUGAUUGUAAGUGCAUCUGCCCGGAGGCAGAGACAACUGGCAUGCUUCUUAAAUCUAAAAAAAAAAAAAAAAAAGAUUAAAUCUACCUAAAUCUGUCAACCAAUUUGUCUGCCUUCUUCAUGCCAGUGAGACCCUUCUUUACAAAUUCAGACUUUUGACUUUCCCUAGGCUUCUAAGCUUUUACCUGGAUUAGACUAAUAGUCAUGGAAAGUCUAUCCAGCUUUGUGUUCCCUUAACAAUACAAUAGAUUCUGUCUCCAAAAGAACCAUGUCUAAAAAGCUAUCUGUCUAUAUCUCUCACUGCUGUUCCUAGGGUUGCCAGGUGUCCGGUUUUCGACCAGAACACCCGGUCGUAAAGGGACCUGGUGGCUCCGGUCAGCAUUGCUGACCAGGCUGUUAGAAGUACCCCAAGCGCCAGCUCUGCAGCUCCCAUUGGCCGGGAACUGUGGCCAAUGGGAGCUCCGGGGGUGGCGCAUGCAGAUGGGAUAGCGCACAGAGCUGCCUGGCCAUGCUUCCACGUACGAGCCAGAGGGGGGACAUGCUGCUGCUUCCGGGAGCUGCCUGAGGAACUGUUGCUUGGGAACACUUAUGGUGGCUAUAUCCCCCUGCUGUAGCCAACAGCUUUGGAACAUUAAACUAAAGAAGUUUCUGUCUGCUCUUGUGCUGGGAACACACACUUGAAUGGAGAUCGAGUACAGUGUUUCUCAACCUUUUUGAUAUAAGGGACUGGCUUGCUGCCUUCCUAAACUGUCAGGGAGAUCUCAGGGACCGUCACUAGUCUACAGACCAGUUGCUGAGAAACACUGAAAUUCUAGUACACAUGUACAUCUUCACAAAACAAUUAUAGAUAAUCUUUUUUAUAAAAUGGUAUAUGGAAUGAAUUUGCAAACAUUUAUGAAAGUGAGAGAUGACUAGAACUAAUUGGAGGUUGGCAUAGUGUGAGCAAGUCCUCUGAACUAACUGAUACUAGUCCAUAGCUUCUCUGGAACGGAAACUGCAUAUUGUGCCAGACUACGAUGUAGCUAUGAUGUAGACAAACAUCCCCUAGGAACUAAGGUGAAACCACAAAGCACAUGUCACUUGUGACCAGAUCUAAACAUGUGU